GCGCCCGUAGCUCAGUUGGAUAGAGUACUGCCCUCCGAAGGCAUGGGUCGGACGUUCGAAUCGUCUCGGGCGUGCCA
rnacentral:tRNA from 1 species